AAUAGUAAUAAGAGUAUGACUAGACUUCCUACUCAAAGCAUCAGCUACCACAUUUGCUUUCCCCUCAUGAUACUGGAUCUCCAAGUCGUAGUCCUUAAUCAACUCUAGUCACCGUCGUUGUCUCAUGUUCAACUCUUU